AUGACAGAAUACAAUACAAUAAAUCACCAAAUUACAUUUGAUUUCUUCAUCUUUACCAGUGAUCUAUUGAGUUCUGUAAUUUUAAUAUCUCAAGAAUGUGUUAACUGGCACUGUUCUGUUUCCGGUGAGUGCAUUCACAAUGGUCUCUCGUCUCGUCGUCUGCAAACUUGCACAAUAUUCUCUCCAGUAUUCUCGUCUUUGAAGAUUCUGAAUACAGGGUGGCCGUGUUCGGGGGCAGGUCCACGGAUUCGGAUCACCAUCUGGGCCGCAAGCCCUCGGAGAAAUAGUAUUCGCCCACCUACAUGCUAUUUAACCGAAUUGCCAUGGAUCAUCGAACGGCGAGAUAGAGCUCAUUCUGGAUCAUCUCUGCUGCCCCUAGUUUGUUCCUCCUUCCAGUCUUCAAAUGCAGGUCUACUUACAGCUUUAGAAAUGUUAUUGAGUAUCCUCUGUUCAUGAGGUAUUUUAUAGAAAAUGCAUACUUUAAGUGUGCAUACAUAAAAGUGGGGCAACUUGAUACAUUUUUUUUUUUUACUUGUAACAGUGCUUAUGUUUCUGUGUUUCUUGUUUCUCUGCUCCAGAAAAGAUUGUGAUUUUUUUUUCAGUAAUAAUGUCAAUAUUUGUGUUUCUGUCUGGUAAUGUGUUAAAAAAGAGAAGAAGAUUUUUAUAAGCUGACUGAACAUGUAAAAAUGAUUGUGACAUUAAAGGGAGCUUUGAGUUAUUAGGGAUUGAGCUUAAGCCAAAGGACUGUAUGUGACCUGUUGCCACUCAAACACUAGUAUCGGAAUCUCUAGCAUGGUCGUACUUGAUUUCAUAACAUUGUGUUACAACUUUUAUAACUUUCUGGAAAACUAUGUGUAGCCAUGUAACGUGAGUGAAAUGUACAAGUGAUCGUCAACAUACUGUAUGUAAUCAUCAUCAAGUACUUAGCAUUAACAAAUAAACAUUUUUUCACGAAAGUAUCA
rnacentral:lncRNA from 1 species